AUGGAAUUGUUACCUCAUGCUCAUUAUCUAUUUUCGCCCUGGUUAGUAAUAAUAGGAGCGAUCCAAAUAAUCUAUGCAGCUUCAACUUCUCUUGGUCAACGAAAUUUCAAAAAAAGAAUAGCUUAUUCCUCUGUAUCUCACAUGGGUUUCAUAAUUAUAGGAAUUGGUUCCAUAACCAACAUUGGACUCAAUGGAGCUAUUUUACAAAUAUUAUCCCAUGGAUUUAUUGGUGCUGGGAUGUCAAAGUGCAUCGGUAGGGGAGCGUUCCGCCUUAGAGUGAAGCAACCGCGAAAGCGGGGGUCGACGAAGCGGAAGCGAGAAUGUCGGCUUGAGUAA
rnacentral:rRNA from 1 species